CAACACACCAACACAGUCCCAACUAGUAACCACUAGUCAUUCUUAUUCACUUGUUGUAUUCAACACACCAACACAGUCCCAACUAGUAACCACUACUUAUUCUCAGUAAUCUGCAUGUUUAGAUCCGUGACAGACCUUCCGCUCGGUUAAGAACAAAGGAGGAGGGAUGGAGCAGACUUACCGGUGAAAGCUUGUCCAGGUAACCAUAGCAACCCACAUGCAGCGACCCAAUAAGAUUCGAUCAGCGGUGAUAAUAAAGACUGGAGGAACUUUAGCCGGGAUAGCUCUUGCAUCGAAGUGGAGCAGAAUACGAAUCUUCUUCGUCAUCCCAAGUGGACCACUGACGACUACUGGAAGAUGUCUACAAUCAAGAAUAACAAAAUCUACUGAGUAACACGCACAUAACGACGACACUGAAAAGACGACAACAACAUUAUCAUACAACGUUAUCUCAGAUGGAGGCAAUGAUGCCAGUAUUAUGGACCGCAUAUAGCAAUGUAUUUACCUGUGUGGUGCUUUGGAGGAUCUCACUUGAGAUAAACUUAUCAAUCGUUUCCUUCAGUCUUGCCUCUAGUGACGCACAAGGCUACAAGAAGAAUACCUAUUCUAUCAGACAGAGGUUCCUUUGCCUGUUGGGGUUAAUACUCGUUCACAUCGGCCAAAAAGACCUAUUAAAUAGGUUUGCAUGAUGGCGUCAUUGACCUCUACUACCAGACUCCCUUGCACUCUUUCUUUUGUACAGUUAAUUAGCACCAAUUGUCUUACUAUCAUCAUGAGGGAAUACGAAUUUGAAAAAAAAAAAGAAAAUUCGCGAAGUAUUAUGGUAGUGGGAGUCAAAUGACAACAUCAUGCAAAUGUCCUAUUAUAAAGCAAUAGAACGAGGGGGUAACACCAUAGAAUACUUUGAAAUUCCAUGAAUGUUCGAUAAUUAUUCAAAAUUCAAUGAAUAUUCAAAAUAAUCGCCAUUUUGAAGUUGAGGUAAAAACUGGGUCGAGUUGGCAUUACAAUGCAUUGUGGGACCCUUUUUAGGGAACAUAUUUUCAAGAUGGCGUCUAUUUCGUCCGCUAAAACAGUCCCAAGCUUAUAUCAUAAAUGUGAUAAUAUGAUCAAAAAAGGACUCAGGAAUGUGGUAUCUACAUUUGGAUGAUAGUAAGGUGGACUUCUUACCGGAAUAAAGAUGAAUUCUUUCUGUAGCA